rnacentral:rRNA from 1 species
CGGAGAGGGCGCAUGAGACUCUCUCCUAUCCACAUCCAAGGAAGGCAGCAGGCGCGCAAAUUACCCUAUCCCGACACGGGGAGGUAGUGACAAUAUGUAACAAUAUACGGCUUUAUUGUCGUAUAAUUGGAAUGAGUACAAUUUAAAUCCCUUAACGAGGAACAAUUGGAGGGCAAGUCUGGUGCCAGCAGCCGCGGUAAUUCCAGCUCCAAUAGCGUAUAUUAAAGUUGUUGCAGUUAAAAAGCUCGUAGUUGGACCUUGGGCCUGGACAGGCGGUCCGCCUCACGGCGUGCACUGUCUUGCUGGGCCUUUCCUCUUGGUGAUCUGUGGUUUCGGCCGCAGGGAACCAGGACCUUUACUUUGAAAAAAUUAGAGUGUUCAAAGCAGGCUUUACGCCAGAAUAUAUUAGCAUGGAAUAAUAAAAUAGGACGUGCGGUUCUAUUUUGUUGGUUUUUGGGAUCGCCGUAAUGAUUAAUAGGGACAGUCGGGGGCAUUAGUACUCACAUGCUAGAGGUGAGAUUCUUGGAUUUUGUGAAGACUAACUUCUGCGAAAGCAUUUGCCAAGGAUGUUUUCAUUAAUCAAGAACGAAGGUUAGGGUAUCGAAAACGAUUAGAUACCGUUGUAUUCUUAACAGUAAACUAUGCCGACUAGGGAUCGGUCGAUGUUAUUUUCUUGACUCGAUCGGCACCU